UACAGAGGGUGCAAGCGUUGUUCGGAAUUACUGGGCGUAAAGGGCGAGUAGGCGGCCUUCUAAGUCAGACGUGAAAUCCCCCGGCUUAACCUGGGAACUGCGUCUGAUACUGGGAGGCUCGAGUAUGGGAGAGGGAUGUAGAAUUCCAGGUGUAGCGGUGAAAUGCGUAGAUAUCUGGAGGAAUACCGGUGGCGAAGGCGGCAUCCUGGACCAUUACUGACGCUGAAUCGCGAAAGCUAGGGGAGCAAACGGGG
rnacentral:rRNA from 1 species